CGAUGUGACUCAAAGGCAGAGGUAGAUGUCCUAGGACAGUCCACCCAAUCUCCCCUUGCUACAUGAUUGGUGUUCAACCAAGUCUCAUCCAAAUACACAAUAGGACGACCCUCCUCUCUAAACUUCCUAAUGGACCUCAGAUCUAGAGUGCAUAUGACUCUUCAGUUUUACGUCAUGACAAAGUGAUUUGUCUUAAUGUGCUUACCUGAACCCAAGAUCCUUCACGAGUCUCCCCAAUGAAGACUUGAAGAGCCUGACUCCCUUUUCUACCAGAACAUCCGACAGUUGGCGCAAUGAAACGUACUGGCCCUUCAACUGCAUGUCAUGGAUGGUCCUCUUCACCAGGUCUGCAUCGAAGUCAUCCAGCUUCCUAUCGGGUCCAGGUUUCUUCUUUGGAGCAGGGACUUGCAAAUCCUCCACCACCAUAUCAACUGGGUCUUGCAUAACUUUUCUCUUUAGAGUAUUCUCAGAUAUUCCUAUAGAUGUAAAAACAGAUUUUAUUAAAUAUGUAUUUACUAGUACAUGUACCAUGUAAACAAAACAUUUGUGUUGCAUGGAUUAAUACAAAUUCAUGCUAACAAUUUUAUAAAUUUAGGUCUCUAAGCUAAGUCACUCAGAGAACCUACUGGCUUGCUAUCUGUGAAUGUAAGUUGUCAUCCAUGGUGCUUUGUGCCAAUGUUGAAUUUAAUUUUCAUCAUUUGUUUUAGGAAAAAAAUGCAUCCAAAGUAUCAAAAAGGAUAUCGAUUUUUGAGAGGAAUUUAAUGAGUUUUCUAUUUACAAAGACUUAUUUUUACCAGUUGCGAGUGAGAGUCUUUUCAAAGGGUUUUUGAUAUUCUUCACCCUCCCCUGCUUGCAUUCCAUGGUAAAAUGCUCAUAUAUCUUCUUUAAAAGAUCUGUAGGCUGUAGAAAAGAACAUGCAUGUUUUAGAUUAAGAACACUAGAAUCAUUGCAUAGGUGUUGGAAGCAGGGGGCUGGGGGCUUUUGCAAAGUUAGUCCUAACCAUUAGGCAUAUAGCAUCAGGGAGGGGCCACCCCCCCCCCCAUUCAGGGAGGGGCCAACCCGCCCCCCCCCCCCCACUUCUUCUCGCAGCAAGCAUAAUUGUUCAUAAAUUUAAAUAUCAAAUAAAAUAUCAAAAGUGAUAUUGAAAAUUGGACCCAGGGAUUAGGAAUUUUUCAUGAUUCUAGAGAAAAAAAAUUUUUGGUAGGUAAGAUUCUUUUUUGGAGUAAUAGUUAUACCCCUCCCAAACGGAUUAGAAUUUUCAUGAUUUUGGGAAUUAGGUUUUUUUUUUGCUUGUCAGAUUUCUGAUGAUUAGUCUAGCGCCCCCCCCCCCCCACUUUCAAUUUGCUUCCGACGUCACUGUAUUCAUUUGAUUCAAUACCUAAUCAUGUAUAAAAUUAACCUACAGAAAAGCAAAAAACAUCGAAUUCUAUGUGAGCAUUUUAAUGAUGUCAAAUUCAUUACUGCACACGCUUUAAGAUUGCAUGAUUUUAACAUUAAACACACUGUUAUCUUCAUAUAUCUGAAUCGGAUCAAUUUGCCUUUUUCAAACAUAGAUAUACCUGUAUUAAGUAAUAAACAGCUAUGUUAAAAAGUUCACUGUGAUACUAGGAACUUGGUUGGCACCCCAGACCUUGAAAGUGAAAAUAAAAAUCCUUGCCAAUUUAACCUUUUUAAAAUUUUGUUCUAUAGGUUAAGCUUACUUUUUUUUAAACUGUCCCCAAAAAUGUGUGGGGGGAGGGGUAUCUUUAUUUUAAAUUUAUUUUAAAAUAUGUCAAAUUGCAUUGUUCAUUUUGAGAAAAAUGCUCCAUGUUGUAUACCUGUUUAUAGUAUUCCAGUUUAUUCUAUUCAUUACAAAUUAAAUUUUGCAGGACAAGUAUCUUAUGUUUGUUGAAAAUAUAUUCAGUCUGACUCUCUAUAUGAUAGUACACCUGAAUAUACACUCAAAAACCAAAGAAUAUCAGUUUUUCUUCUUUUCCCUUUACUAUUUUAAAGUAUUUUUCAUGGAAAACAGAUGUUGGCACUUGCAAUUUUUUUAAUAUGUGAAAAUUUUGAUUUAUGAUGAAUAUUAUUCAAUGAUUGCUCAUUUUUAAUAUGUUUUUAAAUUUCAAACCCUUCAUUGAAAUAAAAUUUUAAAGCUGU